CCUAAUUUUUCAAACGGUAGACAUUAAAUUUUAAAUUUUAAUAUGCGGUACACCAUUAUAACUUCAUAACAGGACAUGCUUUUAUAUCAUUAACCUUGAUAAGAUGAUAAGCAAGAUUUAUCGGUCAUAGGUACAAGUCCGUUAGUCCUUCUCGGUUUGUCAUUCAUUUAAAGUUCAAUCUUUGAACACCACGCACAGUAUAUAGUUCUACCUACGUUAACUAUUGUAAUUUUAUUACUUCCCAUACACAAGAUAAAGAACAACUAGCUAUAAUGGCUUCGACAAACCAGUCUGAAAGCGUUGCUGCUACAGCCUCACCUGCCCCCGCUGGCAACGAUGGAAUUACAAUUGAAUCGGUCAACAGAAUUUCAAAAAUUCCUGUAGUCGAAUCUACCAUACAAACGGCUACAACUAUUUACGAAAAAAUAAAGGUAAAUAAUAAUU